rnacentral:rRNA from 1 species
UACGGAGGGCGCAAGCGUUGUUCGGAAUUACUGGGCGUAAAGCGCGUGUAGGCGGCCAGGUAAGUCGGAUGCGAAAGCCCGGGGCCCAACCCCGGAACUGCACCCGAUACUGCCCGGCUGGAGUCCCGGAGAGGAUGGCGGAAUUUCCGGUGUAGAGGUGAAAUUCGUAGAUAUCGGAAGGAACACCAGUGGCGAAGGCGGCCAUCUGGACGGUGACUGACGCUGGGACGCGAAAGCGUGGGGAGCAAACAGG